rnacentral:rRNA from 1 species
AACGAACGCUGGCGGCGUGCCUAACACAUGCAAGUCGAACGUGAUUGGAAGCUUGCUUCCAUGAAAGUGGCGCACGGGUGAGUAACGCGUAGAUAAUCUACCUGAUGAUCCGGGAUAACACUUCGAAAGGCGUGCUAAUACCUGAUAAGCCCACGGAGUCCUUGGACUCCGCGGGAAAAGGGGGGGAUCGCAAGAGCUUACGUCACCAGAUGAUAUUGCGUACCAUUAGCUAGUUGGUAGGGUAAAGGCCUACCAAGGCGACGAUGGUUAGCUGGUCUGAGAGGAUGAUCAGCCGCACUGGAACUGAGACACGGUCCAGACUCCUACGGGAGGCAGCAGUGGGGAAUUUUGCGCAAUGGGGGAAACCCUGAGGCAGCAACGCCGCGUGAGUGAUGAAGGCCCUUGGGUCGUAAAGCUCUGACAGAGGGAAAGAAAUGCAGAGUGGCUAAUAUCCACCUUGCUUGACGGUACCCUCAAAGGAAGCACCGGCUAACUCCGUGCCAGCCGCCGCCGUAAUAC